rnacentral:misc_RNA from 1 species
GGACUCUGGUAGGUAAUACCAUUGUACUAAAAUAGGCAACCCUAGGAGUGGGAGAUGUCUUAGAUGUUCUAUGUAAGACAUUGAGGAACAUCUGGCAUUCCUCAUCAUAAUACGACAACUUAAAAUUUUCUGAGAAUCACUUCUGAAAUUUAAGCAUGUUGCCAUUUGUAUAUCACAUUACUCCCACUUGAUGAAAUACAGCUAAUUGC